rnacentral:rRNA from 1 species
UACGUAGGGUGCAAGCGUUGUCCGGAAUUAUUGGGCGUAAAGAGCUCGUAGGCGGUCUGUUGCGUCGGCUGUGAAAACCCGAGGCUCAACCUCGGGCCUGCAGCCGAUACGGGCAGACUAGAGUUCGGCAGGGGAGACUGGAAUUCCUGGUGUAGCGGUGAAAUGCGCAGAUAUCAGGAAGAACACCCGUGGCGAAGGCGGCUCUCUGGGACGGUACUGACGCUGAGACGCGAAAGCGUGGGGAGCAAACAGG